rnacentral:tRNA from 1 species
UGAUAAUUAGUUUAAAAAAAAAAAAAUUAAUGGUUUCGACCCAUUAGAUUAUGAUAAUACUCAUAAUUAUCAA